GAAGUCUUCAAACAGUUUCUGUUUUGGUGGGUUAAAGCAGCAGAGGAAGAGAUCCAUGCUUGGUGUAUGAUUACAUGAUUCUUUCUCAACACCCAUGGAUGUUCUCUACUCUAAAAGUGUUUGUUUAUCUUGAUUAGAUAAUGCUGCAAAGGCUUUUAUGUGGCUGGAGAAAGCAGAAGAUUGUUUUGUCGCAAGAAGUGUA